GCUGUGAUGGCCGAGUGGUUAAGGUGUUAGAUUAAAAAUCCAACGGGGUUUCCUACGCAGGUUCGAGUCCUGCUCACUGCG